GUGGGGAAUCUUGCGCAAUGGGCGAAAGCCUGACGCAGCCAUGCCGCGUGAAUGAUGAAGGUCUUAGGAUUGUAAAAUUCUUUCACCGGGGACGAUAAUGACUGUACCGGGAGAAUAAGCCCCGGCUAACUCCGUGCCAGCAGCCGCGGUAAUACGGAGGGGGCUAGCGUUGUUCGGAAUUACUGGGCGUAAAGCGCACGUAGGCGGCUUUGUAAGUUAGAGGUGAAAGCCCAGGGCUCAACCCUGGAACUGCCUUUAAGACUGCAUCGCUUGAACACGGGAGAGGUGAGUGGAAUUCCGAGUGUAGAGGUGAAAUUCGUAGAUAUUCGGAAGAACACCAGUGGCGAAGGCGACUCACUGGACCGUUGUUGACGCUGAGGUGCGAAAGCGUGGGGAGCAAACAGGAUUAGAUACCCGUGUAGUCC
rnacentral:rRNA from 1 species